UACGUAGGGUGCGAGCGUUGUCCGGAAUUAUUGGCGUAAAGGGCUCGUAGGCGGUUUGUCGCGUCGGGAGUGAAAUCCACUGGCUUAACUGGUGGCUUGCUUUCGAUACGGGCAGACUGGAGGUAUGCAGGGGAGAACGGAAUUCCUGGUGUAGCGGUGAAAUGCGCAGAUAUCAGGAGGAACACCGGUGGCGAAGGCGGUUCUCUGGGCAUGUCCUGACGCUGAGGAGCGAAAGUGUGGGAGGCGAACAGG
rnacentral:rRNA from 1 species